rnacentral:rRNA from 1 species
AGAGUUUGAUCCUGGCUCAGGAUGAACGCUAGCGGCAGGCUUAACACAUGCAAGUCGAGGGGCAGCGGGGAGGAAGCUUGCUUUCUCCGCCGGCGACCGGCGCACGGGUGAGUAACACGUAUGCAACCUGCCCCUGUCAGGGGGACAACCCGCCGAAAGGCGGGCUAAACCCGCGUACAUGCCACCGGGGCAUCCCGGAGGCAGGAAAGGCUUCGGCCGGACAGGGAUGGGCAUGCGGCGCAUUAGGCAGUAGGCGGGGUAACGGCCCACCUAACCGACGAUGCGUAGGGGUUCUGAGAGGAAGGUCCCCCACACUGGUACUGAGACACGGACCAGACUCCUACGGGAGGCAGCAGUGAGGAAUAUUGGUCAAUGGUCGGGAGACUGAACCAGCCAAGCCGCGUGAGGGAGGAAGGUACAGAGUAUCGUAAACCUCUUUUGUCAGGGAACAAAGGCGGGGACGUGUCCCCGGAUGAGUGUACCUGAAGAAAAAGCAUCGGCUAACUCCGUGCCAGCAGCCGCGGUAAUACGGAGGAUGCGAGCGUUAUCCGGAUUUAUUGGGUUUAAAGGGUGCGCAGGCGGUCUGUUAAGUCAGCGGUCAAAGCCCGGGGCUCAACCCCGGCCCGCCGUUGAAACUGGCAGUCUCGAGUUGGAGAGAAGUAUGCGGAAUGCGCGGUGUAGCGGUGAAAUGCAUAGAUAUCGCGCAGAACUCCGAUUGCGAAGGCAGCAUGCCGGCUCCACACUGACGCUGAGGCACGAAAGCGUGGGUAUCGAACAGGAUUAGAUACCCUGGUAGUCCACGCAGUAAACGAUGAAUGCUGGCUGUCCGGGGGGAUUGACCCCUGGGUGGCGAAGCGAAAGCGAUAAGCAUUCCACCUGGGGAGUACGCCGGCAACGGUGAAACUCAACGGAAUUGACGGGGGCCCGCACAAGCGGAGGAACAUGUGGUUUAAUUCGAUGAUACGCGAGGAACCUUACCCGGGCUCAAACGGGGAGUGACUCAGGCAGAGACGCCUGUUUCCCACGGGACACUCCCCGAGGUGCUGCAUGGUUGUCGUCAGCUCGUGCCGUGAGGUGUCGGCUUAAGUGCCAUAACGAGCGCAACCCCCGCGUGCAGUUGCUAACAGAUAACGCUGAGGACUCUGCACGGACUGCCGGCGCAAGCCGCGAGGAAGGCGGGGAUGACGUCAAAUCAGCACGGCCCUUACGUCCGGGGCGACACACGUGUUACAAUGGGUGGUACAGCGGGAAGCCAGGCGGCGACGCCGAGCGGAACCCGAAAUCCACUCUCAGUUCGGAUCGGAGUCUGCAACCCGACUCCGUGAAGCUGGAUUCGCUAGUAAUCGCGCAUCAGCCAUGGCGCGGUGAAUACGUUCCCGGGCCUUGCACACACCGCCCGUCAAG